UCUUAUGGAUGAGCAGAACAAGUGGUUUCUUGAGAUGGAAACUGCUAGUGAAGAUGCUGUGAA
rnacentral:pre_miRNA from 1 species